rnacentral:lncRNA from 1 species
AAACCCGUCUCUACUAAAAAUACAAAAAAAAUUAGCCGGGCGUGGUGGUGGACACCUGUAGUCCCAGAUACUCAGGAGGCUGAGGAAGGAGAAUGGCGUGAACCUGGGAGGCGGAGCUUGCAGUGAGCCGAGAUUGCGCCUCUGCACUCCAGCCUGGGCGACAGAGCAAGACUCCGUCUCAAAAAGAAAAAAAAAAAAAAACCCAAAGAAACAGUCUUUACAACCUGGUGU